GCAGUCACACUGAACAAAGUACUGCCAGCACUGCCCGUCGCAUGCUCACCGCCUGAGUACGUUAUGUCAGUGGUGCUGAUCACGUAAAUUUACGAUAAAAACUGCCACAAACGAUCCGUCCGUCUGCACGGUAAUACUAUGCUCUCCUCGUACGCGUUUUGGUGACUUAUAGAGCGUGUACGUAUGGAAAAGUGUCCAUAUCACGGAUGUUUUACUGUAUAAAUCUGUAGUCAAAGUGUUCACGAUCGGCUGCUGGUUUGGUUCACUUACGUGAUUGUACUUUUUACUUGAUCCGUUGAGCCGGGAAUGCCGCGGAUGCGGAACUUUAACUCCUGGACAUUGGCUGGCAGCAGCUGCGCAUCAACGUACAACAUAACGUGACCAGUAAGCUGAACAGCGCGCAAUUCCGUUAAGACUUCCUGAGCAGUUGGCUUUUUCUAUAAACAAACUGCCUUGUCCCGAAUUCAAAGCGAAUCUUGGUGCGACACAGCAACUCCAGCUCGCGAGGUGGAUUCGCGUACCGUAUCUGUAGUCUGUAGACGAGGCCUGCAUACAGCCACAUCGUGUGGUUGAGCAUCCAUACCAAACCUGCUUCGAAUAGUAGGGAUCUGUGUUGAGCGUACGCUCCGCCCACCGAAUCGAGAUGGCUGAGACAAUCUUACUUUUACAUGAGCCGAUGGUGUUUUCGGGCUCUCUUUUGUUUCUUCGGCUUGGACGUCUUGGUGCGCCCAAGCUGUGUAGUGUGUACUAAUUAAAGCUUGCUCUAUUUGUUGAGUAUUUUUGUGUUUUUUUGUACGAUGAGGCGCACAGUAGUUAUUCCUUGUUUAAUUAUCAACCCUACGGGGCGGACGGGCAAGCCGACUCCAAGCCUUGAUUUGAACUGAACUGAACUGCACAGUUUGUGAAGUGUUGAUUGGUUGAAAUCAAAAGGACCUUUAAUAA